UACCUGGUUGAUCCUGCCAGUAGUCAUAUGCUUGUCUCAAAGAUUAAGCCAUGCAUGUGUAAGUAUGAACUAAUUCAAACUGUGAAACUGCGAAUGGCUCAUUAAAUCAGUUAUAGUUUGUUUGAUGGUAUCUACUACUAGGAUAACUGUAGUAAUUCUAGAGCUAAUACGUGCAACAAACCCCGACUUCUAGAAGGGAUGCAUUUAUUAGAUAAAAGGCUGACGCGGGCUCUGCCCGUUGCUCUGAUGAUUCAUGAUAACUCGACGGAUCGCACAGCCAUCGUGCUGGCGGCGCAUCAUUCAAAUAUCUGCCCUAUCAACUUUCGAUGGUAGGAUAGUGGCCUACCAUGGUGGUGACGGGUGACGGAGAAUUAGAGUUCGAUUCCGGAGAGGGAGCCUGAAGCUCAUCCCACUCAAAUCCUACAGAAGCUGCAAUCGGGCCACCUCCUGGAGGGAUCUAGAUGAUUUGGAAGUGCAAAAGGAUGCUAGGUGUGCAGUAAACAAGAUCAAUAAUAGUGCAGAUGCCUUUUAUCCAUCAUGGGAGCUGAAUUUCUGCAGUUAUGCCGAGUUUGACGUUUGGUGGAAAACUA
rnacentral:rRNA from 1 species